rnacentral:rRNA from 1 species
CGGCAUGCCUUACACAUGCAAGUCGAACGGCAGCACGGGAGCAAUCCUGGUGGCGAGUGGCGAACGGGUGAGUAAUAUAUCGGAACGUGCCCAGUCGUGGGGGAUAACGUAGCGAAAGCUACGCUAAUACCGCAUACGAUCUAUGGAUGAAANCGGGGGAUCGCAAGACCUCGCGCGAUUGGAGCGGCCGAUAUCAGAUUAGGUAGUUGGUGAGGUAAAGGCUCACCAAGCCGACGAUCUGUAGCUGGUCUGAGAGGACGACCAGCCACACUGGGACUGAGACACGGCCCAGACUCCUACGGGAGGCAGCAGUGGGGAAUUUUGGACAAUGGGCGCAAGCCUGAUCCAGCAAUGCCGCGUGCAGGAUGAAGGCCUUCGGGUUGUAAACUGCUUUUGUACGGAACGAAACGGUGAGCUCUAAUACAGUUUGCUAAUGACGGUACCGUAAGAAUAAGCACCGGCUAACUACGUG